CCCGCCCCUUUCCGGGGUCCGAGGUGGCGCGGGGGCUCCGGCCGGCCGAGAUCAACCCGUCCCCAUGGAUCUCUUAACAGCCAAGAGGUUCAUACUUUAUAGGAAAGUACACAAGAAAAUAGAUUUCUGAAAGAUGUCCCUCCUGUGUACAAGAAGGAUGUCCCAGAUGCUCGGUGUGUUUUAGUUUCUGCUCCAGAAAGGCAAAUGUAUGCCAACACAGAGAUAAUCCUGGGAAACGUGCCCUACUGCUGGUUUUACCUAUGCAGCAUACAUGAUCUGCCUUUAUCCAUGGGACAAUCCUGA
ensembl:lncRNA